ACCUGGUUGAUCCUGCCAGUCAUAUAUGCUUGUUUAAAGGAUUAAGCCAUGCAAAUGUAAGUAUAAGUAUCACGUACGUACAAGACUGUGAACAGCUUAUUAUAAAAGUUAUAAUUUAUUUGAAUGUGAGAGCUGAAACGCUCUGUUUAUGUGGAUACCUAUGGGAAAACUAUAGAUAAUACAUGCUAAUCGGGGAGACGCAAGAAUCCCUGUAUUAACUGGUGUUUGAGGUCGCAAUUUUUGAUGAAUCACGGUUUACUAGACAGAGUGAGCAAUCACUGCUUCAUUCAAAUUUCUUAUCUAUCAACUGUCGAUGGUAAGUUAGAGGCUUACCAUGGUUUUUACGGGUAACAGAGAAUAAGGGUUUUAUUCUGGAGAGGGGGCCUAGAGAGAUAGCCACCACUUCCAAGGAAGGCAGCAGGCGCGCAAAUUACCCAAUAGCAACAUGUUGAGGUAGUGACAAAAAAUAACGACGGCAUAUACCGGGUAAAACCGGUAGCCGAUUGUAAUGAGUGCAAUGUAAACAAAUCAAUUAGUAUCAACUGGAGGGCAAGUCUGGUGCCAGCAGCCGCGGUAAUUCCAGCUCCAGUAGCGUAUGUUUAAGUUGCUGUAGUUAAAAAGCUCGUAGUUGGAGUAUGACUCCGGGUCAGGCCGAGGUGAAAUAAAUUUGCCCAGGCAGGAUCUCGAGUCCUUGCUGAAUAAGUUACACAUCCUAUAAUUGAAAGAUUAUGGGUUGGUUGGUUCUCAUUCAAUUUACCAUAAGUAAAAUAGAGUGUUUAAAGCAGAGCGUAUGUUCAUUGAAUAAUAGAGUAUGGGAUAAUAGAAGAUGAUAGAGGUAGGGUGCGAUCCCAGGUGGCAACAUCUGGACCUGCUUCUGUAAUGAUUAAUAGGGGCUAUCGGGGCAAUUGAUAUUUCUACACGAGCGGUGAAAUGCGUAGACUGUAGAAAGAUUACCUAAUGCGAAAGCAUUUUGCAAGGGUGCUUUCAUUAAUCAAGAACGAAAGUUAAGGGAUCGAAGGUGAUCAGAUACCGUCGUAGUCUUAACCAUAAACAAUGUCGACAAAGGGUAGGGUGGAAAGUAUCAAUAUACUUUCUUCUCAAAGGUACUCAAAUGGUUGCUGGGGCAGCGAUGUUCCAGUGGCUAAUUAAUAGGUCUCUCCCUGAACUCCGUAAGAAAUUAAAGUGAUCGGACUCUGGGGGGAGUAUGGUCGCAAGGCUGAAACUUAAAGGAAUUGACGGAAGGGCACCACCAGGUGUGGUACUUGCGGUUUAAUUUGACUCAACACGGGGAAACUCACCAGGUCAGGACAUGAUAAGGAUUGACAGAUUGAAAGGUCUUUCAUGAUUUUAUGGGUGGUGGUGCAUGGCCGAUCUUAGUUCGUGAUAUGAAUUGUCGGCUUAAUUGCGUUAACGAACGAGACCUUUAGAGAUAAAUAGCGUUGUUAUGGAUGUGUCAAACAGGGUGGUUGCCUCUGGGAGAAGGGCAUGUUCCCCUUUCAGAUGUCGUCGACUGCUCUGAUGUCUGUAGUAAACUGCGGCGGAAACGUCGUAUGCAGCUUCUUAUUUCGACUAUUGAUGUUCAAUCAAUGUAAGUUAAAGGCAAUAUCAGGUCUGUGAUGCCCUUAGAUGUUCUGGGCCACACGCGUGUUACAAUGGUAUAGAUUAGAGGGUCCUCUUCUCUGUAGAGCGGGAGCAAUCUCGCUUGAAAGAGAUAUAUGCUUAAUAGGAAUGUUUGGCUAAUCCUUAUUGAAUCUAUUGAACCUUAUCUGGGAUAGAUGCUUGUUAAUUAUUCAUCUUCAACUUGGAAUACCUAGUAAGCGCAAGUCAACAACUUGCGCUGAUUACGUCCCUGCCCUUUGUACACACCGCCCGUCGCUCCUACCGAUUGAACUGCCCGAUGAGUUGCAAGGAGUAACGCCAGUUUCUCGGAAUUGGUGAUGCAAAUUGCAACAAAUCUUGCAGUUUAGAGGAAGGAGAAGUCGUAACAAGGUAACCGUAGGUGAACUGCGGAAGGAUCA
rnacentral:rRNA from 1 species